rnacentral:lncRNA from 1 species
AAUAUUGCUAAAAAAAAGUGUCAAAAAUAAGAUCAAUGUACAAUCUAGGGUUUCUUGAACUUACAUAUAGUUAAAAAUGUCCAAAUAUUAGUUGAAAAAUCUCACGUAAAUGGGGGGGGGGGGGGGCGACAUUCAAAUCAAUUGUUUAACAUUUACUUUCUCGGACUUAAAUGACCAACUGAAUAAAAUUGCUUAAAAAGCAUAUGGCUAAUACACAAACUAACUCUUACUAAAGCAAUACAUGUUACUAUCUUAAGUCUUACAUGUGUCUUGAUCAGAAUUCAUAAGCCUACUCAUGCUCAUGCGAACUACAAGUUAUACAACUGAACAUCUAAUAAACAAGUGAGAUUAUUUUUUAAUUGGUAUGAUCAAUAUUAUAGCGUAGAGAUCAAUCUCAAAAAUACAUGUAAAGUGAGUAUAAAGUACUAUUAUUUUGUUUAAGACAAUUUAAAUGUUUAAUAUUGAGAUGAUGUAGUUUAAAAUCUACACAUGGAAAAAAAAUUGUAA